UACAGAGGGUGCGAGCGUUGUCCGGAAUCACUGGGCGUAAAGGGCGCGUAGGCGGCCCGGUAAGGUUGCGGUGAAAGCCCGGGGCUCAACCCCGGGUCGGCCGUGGCAACUGCUGGGCUGGAGCACAGUAGAGGCGGGUGGAAUUCCGGGUGUAGCGGUGGAAUGCGUAGAGAUCCGGAAGAACACCGGUGGCGAAGGCGACCCGCUGGGCUGUUGCUGACGCUGAGGCGCGACAGCGUGGGGAGCAAACAGG
rnacentral:rRNA from 1 species